AGAAGAGUACCCACGUCGUCUGUGGUUUGGGUCCUCGGGCUGUGGGGAUACCAAACACCAUCAUGCAUGCCCAACUCUCUUUUUCAUUUUUUUAUCUCUUUCUUUUUUGGUUUUUUAUUUUAUACCAUUUUAGGGUUUUCUCUUUUCUUAUAUAUUCAUCUCGCCCUACACAAACCAUCGAUCGAAUAUAUAAAAACCCACAUUUUAUUCCUUACAUAUAAUAUAUAAAAAAGAAUUCAUGCUUUACCAAAUUCUACUCUUACUUUUAUUUCUCUUGCAUCAUUUCUUUAUUAUUAGCCUUUCAU
rnacentral:lncRNA from 1 species